GGAUCCUCCCCACCCAAUGGGAGUCACGUCUACCCAUGUGACAGCGAACUGAGACCUACAUCAGAUCAGUCGUCAGCGAGUGGGGCCUGCCAAAGCAUUUUUCACCUUUCUUCUCCACUUUGCCGUGUACUGAACAGGAAGCUCGAGCCUACACCUAAAGUACCUGUGACCUUCUGUGGAGGAGUGGGUAGACCCAUGGCUAAUCUUUGGUUCCUCCUGCUGCUUCACCUCACUGGUGUAUCAGUGACCACAAGCCAGUUGUGCCGCACAGAUAUCCCAUGGGACUAUAAUGGGACUAUCGAGUCGCCAGGAUUUCCACAGGAAUACUACGGGAACCAAAAUUGCUUGUACUCCUUUUCUCUUCCAAAUACCUUCAGCACCUGGAGAAUCAAUUUCACCUACUUUAACCUCCCGAACACAUCAUGUGAC